UCUCAGUGAUCUAAUGGCUCUGGUUCCCCUCUUCUCUCACCUAGAAAAUCCUGUUAUAUCUCUUCUUCUUCUUCUGCCUCUUGUUUCUCUUCUCUCCCGAACUCUUCGCAGCCGAAAUUUACUCCAAAGGAAAAACCAUUUUCUUUCGUUAUCUCUCCAAUUUAUCUGCUAUAUCACGAACAGAUCUUUAUCAAUCAAAAUCACAUUCGUCUUUAUCUCUCAAAUCCAUCUGCUAUAUCACAGAAACCAACAGAUCUUCAUCACCAAAAACAAUUAACAGAUCUACAAUCCAUCUACUCCAUGUAUUUGAUGAUUCUUGUUCUUCCUUGGUAUUAUCUAGAUUCGUAAAUUUCUAAGAGAGAAAAAGAUUUGUGCUGAUAAUGGAAGGUGCUUCUUACACAGGGUUUCGUUUCCUACUUCAAUCAAUUACUGGAUGAGUCAUCUUCAUCUAAAUUCACUCGGAGCAUGGAGCUAGUAUAAUUUCUACCAUCCCAACUGUACCAUAUAUUUUUGAUUUUACAGAUGGAAGCAAGAUGAAAGUUCAGAAUUCGGCGGCAUUAACUGCGGAUGCUGGAAAACGCGUAACAAAAUGUUGGGAACCAACUGUUUCCGCUACCAUUAUUAUUCCUAGUGAGUAUGUAGGUGUUGUUAUUACCCUUUGCUAUGAUAGGAGAGGGGAACAAUCUGAGUACACAUUUAUCGAUAGACUAUUUAUAUAUUGCAGGUUAUUUUGGAUUUGUAACUUCAAGAACAGUGCUUCUUAACUUAUGUAAGGGUGAUAAUGCAAUUGAUCGUGUGAUCCCGAGGGGAAGCUAUGAACCUAAGGAAGAAGUUGGUGACUUAAUGAGAUAAUUCUAGCGUAUACGAGGUAUAGUUUCGUACACUCUGAAUCCAUAUAUUGUUAUAUUAGCUAAUUGCUUUGCUUUUUGUAUUUUGGUGUCAUCGUUAUUAUUAAGUAGACACUAGCCACUAGAAGAGAAAGAUGAUACUGCUCGGAUUUAUGACACUUCUUACACUCAGAUGACCUGAUUUUGGUUUGCUUAGUUCAGUUCACAGUCUUAUUGUUAUUAAGCCAAAAAUGUGUGAAGGGGUAUGUUUAAUUCGGUUCACAGUUAUUUCAUAUACCACUAUUUUCCUUGCAAGUGUUACGAAGAGUGGUGGAGCUAAAAACCUAUAUAAGAAACUGAUAAUUGAUAGUGUAGCCCUUAAUCUUAGGGGUUUCCUGCAUCAUAGUAAUGACAAGGUUUUGAUGAUCUCUAGAUUGCUUAAAGCUGAAUGCCUGGAUUUUGAAAAUUGUUUGGAGUUUCUCUAUCAGUAUCUCUCGCUCUUGUGUAUAUAAUGACAAGCGUAUAACAUGAUAAUCUGUCAACCAUAUCCACCUUGUUUUAUAUUUCUUGGCCAUUAAGUAGAUUCUAGAGUAAUUCCAAUUAUUGCAGAAAAUCCUUUUCUUAUGGCUGCAAUAAUAUUGCUUGGGAUGCAGAGUAAUCCCAAUUAUUUGAA